rnacentral:rRNA from 1 species
AGCGAACGCUGGCGGCAGGCCUAACACAUGCAAGUCGAACGAACUCUUCGGAGUUAGGGGCGGACGGGUGAGUAACACGGGGGAACGUGCCUGUGGGUUCGGAAUAACUCAGGGAAACAUGUGCUAAGACCGAAUGUGCCCUUCGGGGGAAAGAUUUUUCGCCAUUAGAGCGGCGCGCGUCUGAUUAGCUAGUUGGGGAGGGAACGGCUGACCAAGGGGAGGAUCGUUAGCUGGUGUGUGAGGAUGACCUUCCACACUGGGAAUACGACACGGCCCCGACUGCUACGGGACGCAGCAGUGGGGAAUCUUGCGCAAUGGGGCAAAGCCUGACGCAGCCAUGCGGGGUGAAUGAUGAAGGUGUUAGGAUUCUACAAUUCUUUCACCGGGGACGAUAAUGACGGUACCCGGAGAAGAAGCCCCGGCUAACUUCGUG